UUCCUGGACAGUAUUUGAACAAGUCGUAUUUUACUAAAGGACUCGUGGAUUGCGGGGUCCCACGACAUCACCUCAUCGAUGCAGUCGAUGGUUUGUUCCAGAUUCAGGCUUGUUUCCGGGAAGAAACCCUGACAGAAAUUCAGAAGAACGGGAGCUGCAUUCCGUUAGGACGUGAAUACACGAAAUGUUUGUCUCAGGACCUUCUAGAAGAAUGAGCUGGGACCCACUAUCCGAGUCCUGCUGGAACCAGAGACCGGGAAAAUAAAAAGGCCCUGAAAGACAAGUGUAAUGCAUUGAGGUCUGUGAAAGCCACAAAGGAAGCAAAAGUCAAACAGCUGAAGGAGAAAGCACAUAACCUGGAAGAAUUCUAUAAACAAAGAAAAGUGCCUAC